rnacentral:rRNA from 1 species
AAUUGUUCGCCAAACGACUACGAGUGAAAACUUAAAACUUAAAAGACUUGACGGUACUUCACACCAACCUAGAGGAGCCUGUCUAACAACCGAUAAUCCACGAUUAACCCAACCACUCCUAGCCCAACAGUCUAUAUACCGCCGUCGCCAGCCUACCUUGUGAAAGUAAUAAAGUAGGCACAAUAGCACACAUACUAAUACGACAGGUCGAGGUGUAACUAAUGGGGUGGAUAAGAUGGGCUACAUUUUCUACCACAGAACAGACGAACAGACCAUGAAACUGGGAACUGAAGGAGGAUUUAGCAGUAAGCUAAGAAUAAAAUACUUAGCUGAAAUAUGCAAUGAAGUGCGU